UGAGUAAUGUCUGGGAAACUGCCCGAUGGAGGGGGAUAACUACUGGAAACGGUAGCCAAUACCGCAUAACGUCGCAAGACCAAAGUGGGGGACCUUCGGGCCUCAUGCCAUCAGAUGUGCCCAGAUGGGAUUAGCUAGUAGGUGAGGUAAUGGCUCACCUAGGCGACGAUCCCUAGCUGGUCUGAGAGGAUGACCAGCCACACUGGAACUGAGACACGGUCCAGACUCCUACGGGAGGCAGCAGUGGGGAAUAUUGCACAAUGGGCGCAAGCCUGAUGCAGCCAUGCCGCGUGUAUGAAGAAGGCCUUCGGGUUGUAAAGUACUUUCAGCGAGGAGGAAGGCAUUAAGGUUAAUAACCUUAGUGAUUGACGUUACUCGCAGAAGAAGCACCGGCUAACUCCGUGCCAGCAGCCGCGGUAAUACGGAGGGUGCAAGCGUUAAUCGGAAUUACUGGGCGUAAAGCGCACGCAGGCGGUCUGUCAAGUCGGAUGUGAAAUCCCCGGG
rnacentral:rRNA from 1 species